rnacentral:rRNA from 1 species
UUUUAUUCGGAGAGUUUGAUCCUGGCUCAGAACGAACGCUGGCGGCAGGCUUCAUACAUGCAAGUCGAGCGGACGACCCCUUUCGGGGGGAAGUUAGCGGCGAACGGGUGAGUAACAGGUGGAUAAUCUGCCUCCUGGCGGGGGAUAACGGCUGGAAACGGCCGC